AACGUAGGUGGCGAGCGUUAUCCGGAUUUACUGGGCGUAAAGGGCGCGUAGGCGGCCGCCGUAAGUCAGACGUGAAAUCCCUCGGCUCACCGGGGAACUGCGUCUGAUACUGGGUGGCUUGGAAUCCGGGAGAGGGGAUGCGGAAUUCCAGGUGUAGCGGUGAAAUGCGUAGAUAUGGAGGAACACCGGUGGCGAAGGCGGCAUCUGGACCGGUUAGUU
rnacentral:rRNA from 1 species